rnacentral:rRNA from 1 species
UGAUGUUCUCGUUAAAGCGUGUAGUUAUAUCUUUCACAGGUAAAUCCGUGAGAGAUGGCGAACGUGAUAGUACUCGGAAGCUUCGGCUGAAGAGAUAAUGGUUCUAAUCAUACCCCCGAGAAAAACCUCUAAGGUUAGGCUAAAGCGGCCCGUACCGUAAACCGACACAGGUAGUCGAGGAGAAUAUCCUAAGGUGCUCGGGUGAGCCGCGGAGAAGGAACUAGGCAAAUUGAUGCUGUAACUUCGGGAUAAAGCAUACCACACUAUGUGUGGUCUCAGUAAAAUGGUUCAACCAACUGUUUAACAAAAACACAGGGCCCUGCAAAAUCGUAAGAUGACGUAUAGAGCCUGAUACCUGCCCGGUGCUGGAAGGUUAAGGAAGGAUGUUCGGCGCAAGCCAAAGCUUCUGACUGAAGCCCCAGUAAACGGCGGCCGUAACGAUAACGGUCCUAAGGUAGCGAAAUUCCUUGUCGGGUAAGUUCCGACCUGCACGAAUGGUCUAAUGAGUUGAACGCUGUCUCCUCCGCGAGCCCGGCGAAAUUGUAGUAUCGGUGAAGAUGCCGGUUACCCGUCACGGGACGGAAAGACCCCGUGAACCUUCACUACAACUUUGCAUUGAUUUUGAGCAAACGAUGUGUAGAAUAGUUGGGACGCUACGAAGCGGUGCCGCCAGGUGCCGUGGAGCGGUCGUUGAAAUACCAACCUUCGUUUGCUUAGAGUCUAAUCCCUAACGGGACACAGUGCAUGGUGGGUAGUUUGACUGGGGUGGUCGCCUCCUAAAAAGUAACGGAGGCUUGCAAAGGUUCCCUCAGUACGGUUGGUAAUCGUACGAAGAGCGCAUUAGUAUAAGGGAGCUUGACUGUGAGACAGACAAGUCGAGCAGGGUCGAAAGACGGCUAAAGUGAUCCGGUGGUUCUGCAUGGAAGGGCCAUCGCUCAAAGGAUAAAAGGUACUCCCGGGAUAACAGGCUGAUCUCCCCCAAGAGCUCAUAUCGACGGGGAGGUUUGGCACCUCGAUGUCGGUUCGUCACAUCCUGGGGCUGGAGAAGGUCCCAAGGGUUCGGCUGUUCGCCGAUUAAAGUGGCACGUGAACUGGGUUCAGAACGUCGCAAGACAGUUCGGUCCCUAUCUGUGAUGGGCGUUAGAAAAUUGAGUGGACAUGACCUUAGUACGAGAGGACCGGGUCGUACGUACCGCUGGUGUAUCUGUUGUGCCGCCAGGUGCAGCGCAGAGUAGCUAUGUACGGACAGGAUAAACGCUGAAAGCAUCUAAGCGUGAAACCUUCCACGAGAUGAGUUUUCUUUUAAGGGUCGUCAAAGACUAUGACGUUGAUAGGCUAUAGGUGUAAAGGUGGCAACAUCAAAGCCGAGUAGUACUAAUUGCCCGUACGCUUUAACUA